rnacentral:rRNA from 1 species
GAUGAACGCUAGCGGGAGGCCUAACACAUGCAAGCCGAGCGGUAUUGUUUCUUCGGAAAUGUGAGAGCGGCGUACGGGUGCGUAACACGUGUGCAACCUGCCUUUAUCUGGGGGAUAGCCUUUCGAAAGGAAGAUUAAUACUCCAUAAUAUAUUGAACGGCAUCGUUUAAUAUUGAAAGCUCCGGCGGAUAGAGAUGGGCACGCGCAAGAUUAGCUAGUUGGUGAGGUAACGGCUCACCAAGGCGAUGAUCUUUAGGGGGCCUGAGAGGGUGAUCCCCCACACUGGUACUGAGACACGGACCAGACUCCUACGGGAGGCAGCAGUGAGGAAUAUUGGUCAAUGGGUGCAAGCCUGAACCAGCCAUCCCACGUGAAGGACGACUGCCCUAUGGGUUGUAAACUUCUUUUGUAUAGGGAUAAACCUACCCUCGUGAGGGUAGCUGAAGGUACUAUACGAAUAAGCACCGGCUAACUCCGUG